CUUCCGUUAAUUGAUUAUGACGUACUUGUACUGAUUGAGAUUUUAACACGAAGUGAGUGGCGAACGGGUGAGUAACACGUGGGUAACCUGCCCAGAAGUAGGGGAUAACACCUGGAAACAGAUGCUAAUACCGUAUAACAGAGAAAACCGCAUGGUUUUCUUUUAAAAGAUGGCUCUGCUAUCACUUCUGGAUGGACCCGCGGCGUAUUAGCUAGUUGGUGAGGUAAAGGCUCACCAAGGCAGUGAUACGUAGCCGACCUGAGAGGGUAAUCGGCCACAUUGGGACUGAGACACGGCCCAGACUCCUACGGGAGGCAGCAGUAGGGAAUCUUCCACAAUGGACGCAAGUCUGAUGGAGCAACGCCGCGUGAGUGAAGAAGGGUUUCGGCUCGUAAAGCUCUGUUGUUAAAGAAGAACGUGGGUAAGAGUAACUGUUUACCCAGUGACGGUAUUUAACCAGAAAGCCACGGCUAACUACGUGCCAGCAGCCGCGGUAAUACGUAGGUGGCAAGCGUUAUCCGGAUUUAUUGGGCGUAAAGCGAGCGCAGGCGGUCUUUUAAGUCUAAUGUGAAAGCCUUCGGCUCAACCGAAGAAGUGCAUUGGAAACUGGGAGACUUGAGUGCAGAAGAGGACAGUGGAACUCCAUGUGUAGCGGUGAAAUGCGUAGAUAUAUGGAAGAACACCAGUGGCGAAGGCGGCUGUCUGGUCUGCAACUGACGCUGAGGCUCGAAAGCAUGGGUAGCGAACAGGAUUAGAUACCCUGGUAGUCCAUGCCGUAAACGAUGAUUACUAAGUGUUGGAGGGUUUCCGCCCUUCAGUGCUGCAGCUAACGCAUUAAGUAAUCCGCCUGGGGAGUACGACCGCAAGGUUGAAACUCAAAAGAAUUGACGGGGGCCCGCACAAGCGGUGGAGCAUGUGGUUUAAUUCGAAGCUACGCGAAGAACCUUACCAGGUCUUGACAUCUUCUGACAGUCUAAGAGAUUAGAGGUUCCCUUCGGGGACAGAAUGACAGGUGGUGCAUGGUUGUCGUCAGCUCGUGUCGUGAGAUGUUGGGUUAAGUCCCGCAACGAGCGCAACCCUUAUUACUAGUUGCCAGCAUUAAGUUGGGCACUCUAGUGAGACUGCCGGUGACAAACCGGAGGAAGGUGGGGACGACGUCAAAUCAUCAUGCCCCUUAUGACCUGGGCUACACACGUGCUACAAUGGAUGGUACAACGAGUCGCGAGACCGCGAGGUUAAGCUAAUCUCUUAAAACCAUUCUCAGUUCGGACUGUAGGCUGCAACUCGCCUACACGAAGUCGGAAUCGCUAGUAAUCGCGGAUCAGCAUGCCGCGGUGAAUACGUUCCCGGGCCUUGUACACACCGCCCGUCACACCAUGAGAGUUUGUAACACCCAAAGCCGGUGGG
rnacentral:rRNA from 1 species